ACAUUUGUAUUCUUCAUAGGAGAACUGAUUUUUAAUCAACGUACAAUCCUUUAAAGACACACUUACUGUGAGCUAUGAGGUUGUUAAUCAGUAUGCUUUUGUUGAAGCCAUCAUCCUGCAGUAUUUCAGUGUAUUUGUUUUUUUAAUAAUCAUGUUUAACAAUGGAAUUCUUGAUUAAAAAAAAAAAACUACAUUACCCAUGAUUCUGCCAAUCAGAGAUACACAACAGGUUAAUAAUAGAGCCAAAAUAACUCUUUAGCUCCGCCCACUUCAAUGACACACAGUGGGAUUGUAGUUCUUUCCUUCAUUAAAGCCAGUAAGUUCACAAUCUUGUACAUUUGUUGCUGAUUUUUUUUCUUCAAAUCAAAGUUUGCAGUGUUGUGAUUGGCUUCCGAGCGGGAUGGUUCGGUUCAUAAACUCCUUAAUGAAGACUUUUCUAAAAUCCCUAUGAGAAAAAUGAAAGGAAAAAUAAAGAUAUUUUUUAAAGUCAUUAUAUAUUUUUUACUAUUUUCCAUUUGGAACAGAAAUGACACAUCUAAGCUUCAGCGGUUUCUUUGCACAUUUAUUUAAAUCAAAAGCAAGCUCUGUUAGCGUUCAUUCCUUGUUAUCAGUAUGUACUGUAACAUGUAUCUUUUGUUUUAGGAAAAGAGUGAUAUACCAGCUGUUACUAUCUGUAAGAAGUGUAUCGUCCCCAAACCGGCCAGGACUCAUCACUGCAGCGUCUGCAGCAGGUGUAUUUUGAAAAUGGACCACCACUGUCGUAUCCUUGUGUGAAUAACACCAGCUCAAGAUACUUGAGGAGAAGUGAAUGUUUAGUCUUUGGCAGUAUGAUGUCUUAACUGCGCUCUCAUCCAGCCUGGCUGAAUAACUGUGUAGGUCAUUUCAACCAGCGCUACUUCUUCAGUUUCUGUCUGUUCAUGAGCAUGGGCUGCAUCUACUGCAGCAUCAGUGUCAAAGACAUGUUUCUGCACACGCACAGCGCCAUCCAGGUGAGUCUGCAUCCGCCGAAGCCCGGCUCUGGCGAUAUAUUAGUACACUAGAUUUACAGUCUCUUCUGCGCAUCUUAUUUGAUCAAAAAUACAUUAAAAAUUGUGAAAUAUUAUUAUUAUGUAAAACAGAUGUUUUCUAUGUGAAUCUCUGUUAA
ensembl:lncRNA